UACGUAGGGUGCAGGCGUUAAUCGGAAUUACUGGGCGUAAAGCGUGCGCAGGCGGUUUGUUACGUCAGGUGUGAAAUCCCCGGGCUCAACCUGGGAACUGCAUCCGAGACUGCAUUGCUAGAGUAUGGGAGAGGAAAGCGGAAUUUCUGGUGUAGCAGUGAAAUGCGUAGAUAUCAGAAGGAACAUCAGUGGCGAAGGCGGCUUUCUGGACCAAUACUGACGAUCAGGUGCGAAAGCGUGGGGAGCAAACAGG
rnacentral:rRNA from 1 species